GGGCUGGUAGAGAAUUGGUAUAUCGCUGAUACUCAAAAUAUCAGGUCGUUGUGGGUUCGAGUCCCACCCAGCCUAC
rnacentral:tRNA from 1 species